AUAACUUUCGAUGGUAGGAUAGAGGCCUACCAUGGUGGUAACGGGUAACGGGGUGUUAGGGCACGACACCGGAGAGGGAGCCUGAGAAACGGCUACCACAUCCAAGGAUGGCAGCAGGCGCGCAAAUUACCCAAUCCCGACACGGGGAGGUAGUGACAAUAAAUAACAAUACGGGGUUCUUUCGGAUCUCGUAAUUGGAAUGAGUACAAUUUAAAUCUCUUAACGAGGAACAAUUGGAGGGCAAGUCUGGUGCCAGCAGCCGCGGUAAUUCCAGCUCCAAUAGCGUAUAUUAAAGUUGUUGCAGUUAAAAAGCUCGUAGUUGAAUUUCGGGGUUAGUAGGUUGGUCAUGCCUCUGGUAUGUACUGGUCUCACUGAUUCCUCCUUCCUUAUGAACCGUAAUACCAUUAAUUUGGUGUUGCGGGGAAUUUGGACUGUUACUUUGAAAAAAUUAGAGUGUUUAAAGCAGGCUAACGCUUGAAUACAUUAGCAUGGAAUAAUGAAAUAGGACGUUCGAUCUUAUUUUGUUGGUUUCUAGGAUUGACGUAAUGAUUAAUAGGGAUAGUUGGGGGCAUUAGUAUUCAAUUGUCAGAGGUGAAAUUCUUGGAUUUAUUGAAGACUAACUACUGCGAAAGCAUUUGCCAAGGAUGUUUUCAUUAAUCAAGAACGAAAGUUAGGGGAUCGAAGACGAUCAGAUACCGUCGUAGUCUUAACCAUAAACUAUGCCGACUAGGGAUCGGAUGAUGUUAAUUUUUUAAUGACUCAUUCGGCGCCUUACGGGAAACCAAAGUGUUUGGGUUC
rnacentral:rRNA from 1 species